CACUAGACGGGGCGAAGCCUGACCGCAAUGCCGCGUGCAGGAAGAAGGCCUUCGGGUUGUAAACUGCUUUUGUACGGAACGAAACGGCCUUUUCUAAUAAAGAGGGCUAAUGACGGUACCGUAAGAAUAAGCACCGGCUAACUACGUGCCAGCAGCCGCGGUAAUACGUAGGGUGCGAGCGUUAAUCGGAAUUACUGGGCGUAAAGCGUGCGCAGGCGGUUCUAUAAGACAGAUGUGAAAUCCCCGGGCUCAACCUGGGAAUGGCAUUUGUGACUGUAGAGCUAGAGUACGGUAGAGGGGGAUGGAAUUCCGCGUGUAGCAGUGAAAUGCGUAGAUAUGCGGAGGAACACCGAUGGCGAAGGCAAUCCCCUGGACCUGUACUGACGCUCAUGCACGAAAG
rnacentral:rRNA from 1 species